UGUGGUCAUGAUUUUAUUUGAGAAGGACAGCAAAUUAAAACAAUGCACUGCCUGUUGUGGUGUGUGGGGCACGGUGGUGUAGAUGAUAGAUAUGCAUUUGAACACAGUUUGAAAGCGGAUAUGUUCGGAGGUCCGAGCUGCAGACUGGACGAGUCUACUGCUUUUUUUAACCUCAAACAUAUUCUUGCACAGGCACAUUAAAAUCCAGCUUGAUUCCUUGGCAUUAGUGGGAAUUUCAAAAAAACAAAAUGAAAACUGUUGCGUAGGAAUCAAUAAAAUAUGUUAAAAUGAUCAGAAAAUACAUAAAAUACCACAAUUCAAAAUCAAUAGGUAAAGACUAAUUUGCUGUUUGCUAGAUAAGCUCUGAUAUGUACACUGCAGGACCGUACUGUAUAGUGAUUUUGGUGUAUGUAGUAGCGCCCCCUAUGGAGAAAAAGGAGUGCGGCAAUGCUCGCUGGCAAUAUAAGGUUGGCACUUUUCUACAGCGGAGGUUAAAUAGUCUAUGCUUAUAGUAACAUAUACACACAGCCUAUAGCAAAUAUAAAUGUACACUAUGGAACUUUUCUGGCGAAGGGUCUGCACUAUACUUGUCUCCAUGGGGAUGUUAUUGCUUUGCCUGGAAUAUUCCGCACUAUGGCAUUGCACCGAUCUUUCCUGCAGUUAUGAGGGUUUUUAUUGCAGAAAUACAUUGAAAAUAGGCGUUGUUACCGUGAGCAAGGUGGCCCCAUGGAGAGCAAGUUUAAUGCCUUACCGUGGAACAUUCCGGUCGAAAGCGAUCACAUUCCCAUGGCAACACGCAGGUUAGAGACACCCCCCUCCACCAGAAAAGUUACACAGUGCAACUUUAAACUGGAGUGAUGGCUUGUUCUUAAAUAAAAAUGCAGCUACAAUUAAUAUUAUUCUCAGUAAUCAUAAAAUUGCAUCAACAUCAUAUUAAGGCAGUGAAAGCAAAAAAAAGAUGGUUCGCUUGUUGGACACUGGGAUCAAGCGAAAACCACUUUUUUGUUAAAAUCGUACAGUUUGGAGGGUUUCUUCGCAGCGGUUUGCCCUUCUCAUGCUAAAGGCGAUACGGUUUGUUGGUUGGUUUUGCAGGUGGAUGGUGGCGACUAGCACGGGCUGCGGUUCUUACAAAGCCAGUCGUGGUUUAGUCCCGGCGUACGAUGCACAGUUAGGUUUGAUUAUUUGGAGGUUUUUAAGUUGGACAGAAGACAGCGCUGUGGUCACUCCUAAAAAAGCAGAAAAAACAGGUUUAGCUUUAAGAAAUUAUAGAGCUUAUAUCUUAUGUGUUUGAUGGUUUUAAUAGAUUUCUUUCAGCCAGAUAAUGUGUAAAAGGUAUCUUAAAGCUCCCGUGAGGUUUUAGCCAUGUUAGAAUGUUGUUACCUCCUCAAAAAGAGUUGUGUUUGGUUUCAUUCAGACAUGUUUGAGUAAUCCUGUAUUAUUUGGCUGUCUAUAUCUCCAAAGAUCAAAUUGUUCUCAUGCUGUGAAGUGGUAGUUUUCAAAUUAACAGCUACCUUUUAGCUUCUGUUUACUACACAUGGGCAACUACAGGGCUGAAAUUAUCCAAAUGAUCCUAGUGAAGGUGUAUGGAGUUUAAAAACACAGAUGAGCACUUCCUGUAUUACCAUGUGACAUCACAAGGUAGAACAGGGUGUUUUAUGUUUGAGAGAAAGGCAGGAUUUGUGUGUUAAUCAUGUCUCAAUAAAACAAAACACAAGUCUGGGUAUGUUUUUGAUAAGAAAACAACAUUAUAGCAUAGGCAUAGAUAAGAAAAUGCUGUAAUAUAG
ensembl:lncRNA